UUCGGAUCGCCGCGCGGGAGGAGAAGGAGGCUGCUCUUUAGAUAGAGAGGAACUAUGAGUUUAAAAGCUAUAUUAGUAUUGCUACAGUACAAAAUGAUCUCUGAUUAUGGAAACAUCUGCAUACCUAGAAGAGGAUUUGAUGGAUAAGAACGACUGACCCUGAACCUGACAAAAGAUGUAUAAGGAUAAAGGUUGGCAGCUGGAAUCCAGGAAGCAACUGGGUGAUACAGUUCAAGGCUUCCAAUUUUGAUUAGAGACUACAGCAAUGACAUGAGGGAGUCCUGAGGCUGAAAUCUGAGUCACUUUCACGAUGCUUAUGGGCAAAGGAAAGUAAUGAUAAGAAGCCAAAUGGGAGCAUGAUCUGAAGUUACCCUGAGGAAGUCACAUCUUGAGUGUUCCAAACAGCCUCAAGUAUUUAAGCAGACUAGUUUGGGAACUGGCACUACAUAUAUAUUUUUAAACUUCAUUGAGUGUAUGUCUAAUGGCUGGUUUUUAUCUUCAGUAUUGCAUCUAGAAUCAAGUUUUAAUAAAUAAUACUGAAACUUC